AGCAGGACAGAGACAGUAACAGCGUGUAACAGAACCAGAGCUUUAGUAUCUUUCUGAAGUGCAGUUGGUGUGGAGAUCUGUGAGAGUGAACUCAGGAUGAAGAUCCUACUCAUCGUCACCCUCUGUCUGAUCUCAGAUGCAGGAGCCUCCAGUGAAGUACCUGUAUCUACAGGAGAAGUCAGUACAACCUACUCAAAACCAAUUCAGUUUUCAUCACAACCAACUCCACCACCAUC